AGGGAGCGUCUCCACUGAGUGCAGAUGUGCUCCUGACUCAUUUAUUACCAUCAGGUCUCCAGGCUACUGACGAGUGAGCGCGCUGAGUAUAGCUGCUUUUUCAAGGCUCUGGAAAGGAGCAAGGGAACUGGGCCUUGAGUCCUUACUUCUCAUGUAUUGAGGCUGUGUCCAAAUGCACCCUGCUUCAACAGCGAGGCUUACCUGUAGUUCACCAGCUGGGGGCUGCCAGGAGUAACUGCAUGGAGUGCCGGAUUCAGUGGCAGCAGCCCCUGAGAACGCAUUAUGAAGCCUACAAACUAGUGCAAUUAAUAUCCCCAUCUUUCAGAUUUGAAGCAGCUCCUCAAGUGGCCAGGCUCUGGCGCACACUGUCCUGGCCCAAAUGGUAGUUUGCUUUCAUCGUGGUGAAACUUCUGUCUGACUGUCGCGCUGAGCAGAAGCAGAAAAGAAUGAAGACCUCUUUGUUGCCAGUGACUGGCUUCCUUUCUACUUUGUGCUAACUGAGGGACAUUGUGAAAGUGAUGUGCACCGAAAUAUCCUGGGUGGAUCUGUGCUCCUCGUUCAUUGUCUGUGACACGUGUUUCUGUAGUCAC